GACGAACGCUGGCGGCGUGCUUAACACAUGCAAGUCGGACGGAAAGGCCCUGCUUUUGUGGGGUGCUCGAGUGGCGAACGGGUGAGUAACACGUGAGUAACCUGCCCUUGACUUUGGGAUAACUUCAGGAAACUGGGGCUAAUACCGGAUAGGAGCUCCUGCUGCAUGGUGGGGGUUGGAAAGUUUCGGCGGUUGGGGAUGGACUCGCGGCUUAUCAGCUUGUUGGUGGGGUAGUGGCUUACCAAGGCUUUGACGGGUAGCCGGCCUGAGAGGGUGACCGGCCACAUUGGGACUGAGAUACGGCCCAGACUCCUACGGGAGGCAGCAGUGGGGAAUAUUGCACAAUGGGCGGAAGCCUGAUGCGGCAACGCCGCGUGCGGGAUGACGGCCUUCGGGUUGUAAACCGCUUUCGCCUGUGACGAAGCGUGAGUGACGGUAAUGGGUAAAGAAGCACCGGCUAACUACGUG
rnacentral:rRNA from 1 species